rnacentral:rRNA from 1 species
CGUGAGCAACCUGCCCUUCAGAGGGGGACAACAGUUGGAAACGACUGCUAAUACCGCAUAAUGUAUUUAGGAGGCAUCUCCUGGAUACCAAAGGAGAAAUCCGCUGAAGGAUGGGCUCACGUCUGAUUAGCUGGUUGGUGAGGUAACGGCUCACCAAGGCUGCGAUCAGUAGCCGGACUGAGAGGUUGAACGGCCACAUUGGGACUGAGAUACGGCCCAGACUCCUACGGGAGGCAGCAGUGGGGAAUAUUGGGCAAUGGGCGAAAGCCUGACCCAGCAACGCCGCGUGAAGGAAGAAGGCCUUCGGGUUGUAAACUUCUUUUAAGAGGGACGAAGGACGUGACGGUACCUCUUGAAUAAGCCACGGCUAACUACGUGCCAGCAGCCGCGGUAAUACGUAGGUGGCGAGCGUUAUCCGGAUUUACUGGGUGUAAAGGGCGCGUAGGCGGGAAUGCAAGUCAGAUGUGAAAUCUAGGGGCUUAACC